AAAUUCUCUAAUUAAUUUUAAUUUCAUAAUUCAUUUAAUCAUCUAAUCUUUUAACUCACCUUGCGCUCCUUGGUAUUCCUUGGAGCAUGCCUGUUUGAGUAUCAUGAAAUCUUCAAAGUAAAUCUUUUGUUAACUCAAUUGGUUUCUACUUUGGUAUUGGAGGUCUUUGCAGCUUCACACCUGCUCCUCUUUGUUCAUUAGCUGGAUCUCAGUGUUAUGCUUGGUUCCACUCGGCGUGAUAAGUUAUCUAUCGCUGAGGACACUGUAAAAGGUGGCCAAGGUAAAUGCAGAUGAACCGCUUCUAAUAGUCCAUUGACUUGGACAAUACUUUUAUGAUCUGAUCUCAAAUCAGGUAGGACUACCCGCUGAACUUAAGC
rnacentral:misc_RNA from 1 species